rnacentral:lncRNA from 1 species
AGUUUUCUUAACUGUAACAGGAGGAUGAUCAUUGCAACAUAUCUCAAAGUGUUGUUGCAAAGAUGAAAUGAAAGAGUACAUAGCAAAUGCACAAUAUCAUACUGGGCAACAUUGAUUUGAAAAUAAAGAUUUGCUGUUGUCAUUAGAAAUAUUACUGAGUUACAGUUUAUAUAUUCUUUUCACCUAAAAUAAAAUUGUGAUAAUUUUUCUGUCAUUAAAUACUUUUUUUUUUUUUUGAGACAGAGUUUCAUUCUGUC